AGACAAUGUUCGGGGCAAUAAUAUAAAAAUACCUAACAUUUCUUGAGCGCUUGUGAUGAGACAGGCCCUGUUCCAAGCACUUGACACGGAGUGCCUGGCACACAGUGAGAGCCUGAUACAUGGAAGCCCCGAAGAUACAGAUGAAGAAUAAAAGCAGCUACUCUGGACCCCACCCCAGAAGAGCCUGGGAACAAGAGCAAAUGGGAACUCUCAAGUGAGAAGAAGGCACUGGAAGGAAGUUUCCCAAGCACCCCCACCUUCCCCUUAUUGAUCUGAUCUAGGAUCUGCCCUUUCAGAGAAGUCCCAGGAGUAACAACAGCAAGU